GACGAACCGUGCGAACGUUGUUCGGAAUCACUGGGCUUAAAGGGCGCGUAGGCGGGCUUGCAAGUCAGGGGUGAAAUCCCACGGCUCAACCGUGGAAGUGCCUUUGAUACUGCGGGCCUUGAGGGAGGUAGGGGCGUGCGGAACUUCCGGUGGAGCGGUGAAAUGCGUAGAUAUCGGAAGGAACACCGGUGGCGAAAGCGGCGCGCUGGACCUCUUCUGACGCUGAGGCGCGAAAGCCAGGGGAGCAAACGGG
rnacentral:rRNA from 1 species